rnacentral:rRNA from 1 species
CCUACGGGCGGCAGCAGUGGGGAAUAUUGCACAAUGGGCGCAAGCCUGAUGCAGCCAUGCCGCGUGUGUGAAGAAGGCCUUCGGGUUGUAAAGCACUUUCAGCGGGGAGGAAGGCGUUAAGGUUAAUAACCUUGUCGAUUGACGUUACCCGCAGAAGAAGCACCGGCUAACUCCGUGCCAGCAGCCGCGGUAAUACGGAGGGUGCAAGCGUUAAUCGGAAUUACUGGGCGUAAAGCGCACGCAGGCGGUCUGUCAAGUCGGAUGUGAAAUCCCCGGGCUCAACCUGGGAACUGCAUUCGAAACUAGCAGGCUAGAGUCUUGUAGAGGGGGGUAGAAUUCCAGGUGUAGCGGUGAAAUGCGUAGAGAUCUGGAGGAAUACCGGUGGCGAAGGCGGCCCCCUGGACAAAGACUGACGCUCAGGUGCGAAAGCGUGGGGAGCAAACAGGAUUAGAUACCCGAGUAGUC